UGACGCUGAGGAGCGAAAGCGUGGGGAGCAAACAGGCUUAGAUACCCUGGUAGUCCACGCCGUAAACGGUGGGCACUAGGUGUGGGACUCAUUCCACGAGUUCCGUGCCGAAGCUAACGCAUUAAGUGCCCCGCCUGGGGAGUACGGCCGCAAGGCUAAAACUCAAAGGAAUUGACGGGGGCCCGCACAAGCGGCGGAGCAUGCGGAUUAAUUCGAUGCAACGCGAAGAACCUUACCUGGGUUUGACAUAUACCGGAAAGCUGCAGAGAUGUAGCCCCCGCAAGGUCGGUAUACAGGUGGUGCAUGGCUGUCGUCAGCUCGUGUCGUGAGAUGUUGGGUUAAGUCCCGCAACGAGCGCAACCCUCGUCCUAUGUUGCCAGCACGUAAUGGUGGGGACUCAUAGGAGACUGCCGGGGUCAACUCGGAGGAAGGUGGGGAUGACGUCAAGUCAUCAUGCCCCUUAAGUCCAGGGCUUCACGCAUGCUACAAUGGCCGGUACAAAGAGCUGCGAAACCGCAAGGUUAAGCGAAUCUCAAAAAGCCGGCCUCAGUUCGGAUUGGGGUCUGCAACUCGACCCCAUGAAGUCGGAGUCGCUAGUAAUCGCAGAUCAGCAAUGCUGCGGUGAAUACGUUCCCGGGCCUUGUACACACCGCCCGUCAAGUCAUGAAAGUCGGUAACACCCGAAGCCGGUGGCCCAACCCGCAAGGGAGGGAGCUGUCGAAGGUGGGACUGGCGAUUAGGACUAAGUCGUAACAAGGUAGCCGUACCGGAAGGUGCGGCUGGAUCACCUCCUUAA
rnacentral:rRNA from 1 species